AUUGAACGCUGGCGGAAUGCUUUGCACAUGCAAGUCGAACGGCAGCACGGGGCAACCUGGUGGCGAGUGGCGAACGGGUGAGUAAUACAUCGGAACGUGCCCAAUCGUGGGGGAUAACGUAGCGAAAGUUACGCUAAUACCGCAUACGAUCUACGGAUGAAAGCGGGGGAUCGCAAGACCUCGCGCGAAUGGAGCGGCCGAUGUCAGAUUAGGUAGUUGGUGGGGUAAAGGCUCACCAAGCCAACGAUCUGUAGCUGGUCUGAGAGGACGACCAGCCACACUGGAACUGAGACACGGUCCAGACUCCUACGGGAGGCAGCAGUGGGGAAUUUUGGACAAUGGGCGCAAGCCUGAUCCAGCCAUUCCGCGUGCAGGAUGAAGGCC
rnacentral:rRNA from 1 species